rnacentral:rRNA from 1 species
GGAAGUCUUCCACAAUGGGCGGCAAGCCUGAUGGAGCAACACCGCGUGAGUGAAGAAGGGUUUCGGCUCGUAAAGCUCUGUUGUUAAAGAAGAACACGUAUGAGAGUAACUGUUCAUACGUUGACGGUAUUUAACCAGAAAGUCACGGCUAACUACGUGCCAC